AUAGAGACUCAGAGCUGCAUAUCAAUAAGCGGAGGAAAAGAAACUAACAAGGAUUCCCUUAGUAACGGCGAGUGAAGCGGGAAGAGCUCAAAUUUGAAAUCUUCAAGGUUCUACCUUGACGAAUUGUAGUUUAUAGAAGUGUUUUCUGUUAGUGGAGUGGCAAAAGUUCUUUGGAAUAGGACAUCAUAGAGGGUGAGAAUCCCGUAUUUGGUCAUUCCUCCUAGCGUUGUGAUACACUUUCAACGAGUCGGAUUGUUUGGGAAUGCAGUCCAAAAUGGGUGGUAAAUUUCAUCUAAAGCUAAAUAUUGGCGAGAGACCGAUAGCGAACAAGUACCGUGAGGGAAAGAUGAAAAGAGCUUUGAAAAGAGAGUUAAACAGUACGUGAAAUUGUCAAAAGGGAAGCGUUUGACACCAGUGUUGUUUUUCCGAAAAUCAAUUACGAAUGUUUUAUUUUUGAGGAGUUAUGACUUCAUCGGCUUGCUUCUCUCUUUAUGAAACUUUCUUAAUGCACUUUUCGGUUAACAAGUCAACAUCAAUUUCUUUUGUUGUAAAAGGGUAUGAGGAAGGUGGCUUUCUUUUCGGAGAAAGUGUUUAUAGCCUUGUGCCUCUGCAAUCGGAGAGAUUGAGGUCUGCAGCGUAGAUCCUUCGGGGUUAGAUACGUUUGUGCUAAGUUAUAGCUUUUCAUAGACAACUUGUUGACUAUGUUAGUCUUGUAGCUUACUCGCUUAUGCUAUUUUACCUACGCUUAGGAUGUUGACGAGACUGUCGAUCUC
rnacentral:rRNA from 1 species